UGCAAGUCGAACGGUGAAGAGAGCUUGCUCUCUGGAUCAGUGGCGAACGGGUGAGUAACACGUGAGCAACCUGCCCCGGACUCUGGGAUAACAGCUGGAAACAGCUGCUAAUACCGGAUACGAGCUGCGAAGGCAUCUUCAGCAGCUGGAAAGAAUUUCGGUCCGGGAUGGGCUCGCGGCCUAUCAGCUAGUUGGUGAGGUAAUGGCUCACCAAGGCGUCGACGGGUAGCCGGCCUGAGAGGGUGACCGGCCACACUGGGACUGAGACACGGCCCAGACUCCUACGGGAGGCAGCAGUGGGGAAUAUUGCACAAUGGGCGAAAGCCUGAUGCAGCAACGCCGCGUGAGGGAUGACGGCCUUCGGGUUGUAAACCUCUUUUAGCAGGGAAGAAGCGAAAGUGACGGUACCUGCAGAAAAAGCGCCGGCUAACUACGUGCCAGCAGCCGCGGUAAUACGUAGGGCGCAAGCGUUAUCCGGAAUUAUUGGGCGUAAAGAGCUCGUAGGCGGUUUGUCGCGUCUGCUGUGAAAACCCGAGGCUCAACCUCGGGCCUGCAGUGGGUACGGGCAGACUAGAGUGCGGUAGGGGAGAUUGGAAUUCCUGGUGUAGCGGUGGAAUGCGCAGAUAUCAGGAGGAACACCGAUGGCGAAGGCAGAUCUCUGGGCCGUAACUGACGCUGAGGAGCGAAAGGGUGGGGAGCAAACAGGCUUAGAUACCCUGGUAGUCCACCCCGUAAACGUUGGGAACUAGUUGUGGGGUCCAUUCCACGGAUUCCGUGACGCAGCUAACGCAUUAAGUUCCCCGCCUGGGGAGUACGGCCGCAAGGCUAAAACUCAAAGGAAUUGACGGGGACCCGCACAAGCGGCGGAGCAUGCGGAUUAAUUCGAUGCAACGCGAAGAACCUUACCAAGGCUUGACAUAUACAGAACGGGAGAAAUGGUCAACUCUUUGGACACUCGUAAACAGGUGGUGCAUGGUCGUCAGCUCGUGUCGUGAGAUGUUGGGUUAAGUCCCGCAACG
rnacentral:rRNA from 1 species